rnacentral:guide_RNA from 1 species
AUAAAAUUACACAUAUAAGUGCAUAACAUAUAGAAGAUUGAU